UUUAUUAAAACAACAAAAAUUAAAAUUUGUUCGAUUCCCAAAGAAAAAUGUUUACAUAGCUCAAGAAACCUCCAAAACAAAACCAUUUGAGCAAAACAAACCAGAAAAGAAAACACUUGAGUUCCUCUGUAUGCCAGCCUUGAAAAUCCUUCAACUCCAGUCCUAAAUCGCCAAUAGAAGCAAUAUUAUGAAGCAUUUUCGUAUAAACGAUGUUUAAAAUCGAAUAUGCAGCACAUCUCAUAGAUACACAUUGUCUGAAACAACUCAGCUAGGCCCUGUCGCCUCCUCAGCCACUAGGUCCAUAAUCGUCGGAGGGCCCUCCUCCACCAACUACAUGUCUCGCUUUCGGAGAAAUCCCUCAAUUGCUAAAAGGUGAGCCAUUCAAUUUCCACCCCUUUUGAUGUGUUGAUAUUUAAACCUCUCAAAAUGCAAAUACUAAUCGGUUGGCCUCCUAUAUAUAAGUACUAAUCUCCAAUCUGUCAACCUUUUGUGCUUUUAAUUUUGAAAUAACCACUAUGGAGUCACAUUCCAAAAGAACACGGCGAAAACUCAUGUGUUGUGCAAGCGGAAUGGCCUGAACUGCAGCUAAGGCCUCUGCCACUUCAGCAGAUAGGACAUUCCUGUUCCAAGUACUAGAGGCUCCCAUUACCAACCCUGCCUCAUCUUUUAUGACGGAUAUUGCGUUGGAAAAUUGUAGAUUCUUAUAAAAACCUACAUCAAAGUUUACUUUUAACCAUCAGGGCUCUGGAGGGCACCAUCUCACCGGAGGUCCUUACGUGCUUGUCGGGUAAGUCUUCUCCAAUAGCACCAGUUCUUUAACAUAUCCUAGCACAAAAUUACACAAAUCAUUUACUAUUUGUCUUCUGCCUUCAUGCAUCAAUUUAUUUCGCAACAUCAGAGAUUUGCCUACAUAUAUGUAGAUUUUGUCUAGUAGGCACAUAGUUAUGUAUAAUUCUCCAUGUCGUAAUUUUCAUCUUUUCUAGGACUUUUGUUUCCCAAAGGUAUUUGUAUAAAAGCCUCAUGUAGGUCUCAAUAUCUCUGUAAAGAUCAUCAUCUGACCUAGGAAAACCCCUCAAUGGCACUCGGUAGCCACUCUGGACUGUAUACAUACCAGACUCAUCAGGACACCAUCGUAUUUAUCUACUAGGCCAUUGGGCGGCAACGGGAUACAAAGAAUCCUCUUAGCCUCUUACUCAUUAAAGGUAUUCCUCACAACAAAAUCUUUCCAAGUCCCUUCUUUAGCAUCAAUCAAAUCUGCAACCAUAGAAAUACCAUCAACCUUGUCUAAUUGAAUAAUCGUUGGUUUGUCCCCAGGCAACCAAGUUGUAUCCCAUACCGGAAUAUGCUCACUAUUCCAAAGCUUCAGCUGCUACCUUUCAGCAAAAGUCCCUUUACGGCCAAGACACUCCUCCAAAUUGCCGAAAGUUGACUCUUUAACUCAAUUCUCAUGAAAUCACUAUCCGCAUAAUAUUUAGAUUGCAAAAUUGAUGCUACUAGAGAUAUAGGGUUACAAAUAAGUCUCCAACCUUGUUUAGCUAGAAGCGCAAAAUUAAAUUUGGCUAGCUGCCUAAACCCCAAUCCACCCUAUUUCUUUAAAUUACAUAAAGCCUCCCAUGUACCCCAAUGUAUUCCACGAUUUGAUUGGAAUUUUUGCCACCAUUAGCAACUAAACACGAUUUCAAUAUCCUCGCAAAAGGUUUUUGGUAAUAGAAAACAUGAAAUGACAUAAGUAGGCCUAGCUUGUAAGACCGAUUUAAUAAAAAAAUUUUACCUCCCUAUGACAACCAACGAUUGGACCACCCACUGAUUUUUCCUUUAAUUCAAUCCAAAAUAAGAUAGAAUGCAGCUCUCUUAUUACGCCCUAUUAUUAUGAGAAGGCCCAAAUACUUCUCCGGGUUUUAAGGGCAUCUCACCCUAACUCAUUUUCCACUAAAACCCGGGUCUCAUCAGCAACUCUUGAACUAAAGUAGACCAGAGACUUACUAAAGUUAAUAACCUGCCCGAAACAAGCCUCGUAUUCAGCCAAAACAUUCUUAAUAUUUGUCGCCCUAGCCACUAAUGCCUCCCUAAAUAAAAUAUUGUUGUUAGUACGAGCGACUCAACUUUGCCCAUUUUACCAACCUAUCCUGUAUCGCUAACCGGAGCAAAACAGACAACCCCUCUAUGCAAAACAAGAAUAAGAAAUGGCUUAGAGGGUCACCUUGUUUUAGCCCACAAGUGGGUGAAAUAAAACCUCUGGUUUGCCUAUUCAACACCACUAAAUAACUAACAGUCUUCACGCAUCUCAUAACCAGCUCAACCAAAUCCACUCGAAAACCUAUUUUUAACAUCAUAUCUUCAAUCAUAUGUCAUUCCACCCUAUCAUAGGCCUUACUCAUAUCCAAAUUAAGCGCAAAAAAUCCACAUCUAUUCUCAGUCCUUUUUUUUUUAAAGAAUGUAGCAACUCAAAUACGACAAUAACAUUAUAUGCUAUAAGUCUACCUGGUAUGAACGCACUCUGUGCUUCAUUAAUACAAUGAGGCAUAAUCAUUUGUAAUUGAUGGACAAUUUCCUUAGUAAUAAUUUUCAAAAUAACAUUACAUAAGCUUAUUGGACGAAAGUGUGUCAUAUUAAUAGGCAUAGAUUGUUUUGGGAUAAGCACAAUAUUUUUAUGAUUAACCUCUACCAUUGGUCCUCUAUUAUUCAUAAUAUCAAGGCAUUAAGAGCUUACCUCUAAGCUAAUAAUGUGCCAAAACUGUUGGUAGAACAAAGUCGGCAUACCAUCCUCCCUCGGUGCCUUUGUAGGAUACAUUCUCCACAUCGCCGCACCAAUCUUUUCUUCAGUGAAUCGAGAGCACAAAAAAUCAUCCAUGCCAUCAGAAACAUGAACUAGAAUUCCCAUCAAAAGCCUUGUAUUAUCGCCCCUACCCCUUGAAGUAACCAGAUCAGUGAAGUAUCUACACGCAAUUUGUUGCAUCUCCUCAUUUCCCGCACUCAUUCUACCUUCUUCAUCUUCGAGCUGUCCUACAUAAUUAAUUUUCCUACGUUGGAAAUCCAUUCUUUGAAAAAACCCAGUAUUACGAUCCUCAUUCCUCAACCAGUUAGCUCUUGCUCUCUGUUCCCAAUAGCGUUCCCUUUUUAACAAUCUCCAAAUUGAGCUAUAUUUUUGUGAUGACCAAUUACUCCAGCGCUUCAUUAGUCGGAUAUGAAUUAUUAAGCUCGUCAAGCUUCUACCUUAAUUUAUCCAAGGUCAUUCGAGACAACUGUCUAUUCUCUCAAGCCCAAUUCAUCAAACCACGCUCGACAUAUCGAAUUAUAUCCAGUAUAGACCCAUCUGAGCUAUUCCAUAAUCUUUUAACCUCUCUUUUACAAGACUCUUCAAGCAAUAAUGUUGCUUCAAAUCUAAACUCACAUGUACUUUGUUCCUGUUGAUCUACCCUCCUACAAAUGUUAAGUAAAAUUGGGCAAUGAUCAGUUAUCGAAUGCAUGCAAUGCUUGAGAGAAAAAUUAGGAAAUAAAUUAUUCCAUUUUGGAUUUGCCACUCCCCUAUCAAGCAUUUCCUGUAUGUUAUUGUGGGCCAAUCUCCAAUGUUCCCAUGUAAACUAGUGGUCUUGAUAUCCCAAAUUCGACAAAUUACAAUCUUCCAAAGCUAUCAUGAAAGCCUCAAUUCCUCGCUCAUCCCUCAGCCUCCCCUUUGUUUCUCAUAAGAAUACAUAAUCUCAUUAAAAUCCUCCAUAAUCAGCCACAGUAUCGCACUUUUAGUAGAAAAAUCUCGUAAAUGAUCCUACAAAUAGUGUCUCAAGUUCUUUACAGGAUGCCCAUAAAACCCAGUAAACCUCCAAUGAGCACUUUCUACUUCUUCAAUAUUUAUAUCAAUAUGGCUCAACGAGAAGCUCCAUUCUAAAGAUAAACCACCCACUGUACCAUCACUACUAAUAUUGAUUCCCUCCAUCAAUCCCCAGCUCCUCCAUCUUCGAACUAUGUAUCUUUGUUUUCAUGAAAAAGUUACAUCAGGAUUAAUCUCCCUCAGCACCUACCAAAGGCAAGGUCUUGCACGGGGGUUCCCCAAACCCCAGACAUUUCAGCAUAAUAUUUUCAUUGCAUUCGACUGCUCUGUCUGUAGAGCCAACCGAUAUCUCAGAAUCAUGAACAAAGACAUAUCCAUCAAUAGCUUUCCCUGAAUUCAUUCUACUAGAAACAAAAGAAAACCGAGUAUUACGAGGCCUCUUAUCCCUUUCCCCUAAUUUCUAUUGGACAAUCCUCCUCUAUCAACUCUCUAUUCGGAUCAAGAUUCUCUAAAUCCCCAACAUCAAAAUUUACUCUUCCCCCCAUUUCAAACCAAGAUUGGCCUCUACUUGCCUUAAAAAAAUUGCAUGCAUUUUAGAAUAAACCUUGUAUAUUUUUAUUCUUCCCAUCUUGUCCACUCUCUAGAGUUCUCUUUAGUUCCCUCAAUCGUGGCCCCUCCUCCUUCUCCCUUAAUCACGGACUCGAUGCCACCAUUUCUUGUUUAGGGAUCGCGUUAAUCGAUAAAUUCUAGCUAAGCAGAACCUUUCCGAAUGACCCAAUUUGCGACAUAGAAAAUAGAACGCCGAUAGUUUCUCAUAAUGGAAACACGCAUAGAGAUACCAUUUACUACCCAAAAUAAGCUUCUUAUUCCUUAUUAACGGAUUUCUCAUAUCAAUCCGAACCCGAAUUUUUAUAUAGCCUCUAUACCCUUGAUGUAAAUAUUUCACAUCAUACUCUAAAAAUCACCUUACAAAAUCUCUAAACUAUUUGGCCAUCGUCUCUGACCUCAGGCUUGUUAGGAGAUCGUGAACCUGGACCCAAAAAUCAGACCAACACAGCAACCCUAGCAUGGGAUCCUCCUAUUCCCGCAAUCUAUGAAAUACGAACAAAUGAUUAUUAAAUGUCCAAUGACUCCCUUCCAAAAGUUGAUCCAGAUUUAUCUUAUAAUAGAAUUGAAACAUAAAUCGCUUUUCCCCUAGAUCUGUUAUUGUAACACCUCCAUGCGAAUGCCAUAAAUUAACCAAGGUUGCUUGGUAUUGCACAAUGCUCACUGUUAAGGAAUCGUCGACUACACUCAGAUCCGCCCCCUCCUCUCUCGUCUCCUUGCCCAAAUCGACAUUCCAACCCACCUCCUCUCCAUUAGUAAUCAACAACGCCGUUAAGCCCUAUUUCAUUCUUGAAGCACUACCAUCUAUCAAAACCCUAAACUAGAUUCAAAACGUGCUAUUAGAAGUAGACUAAAAACGUGCUAUUAGAAGUAGACUAACAUGCUUCUUUUCAAAAUUGAAACACAACACUAAAAAUUAAGGGUUGAAAAUUUAAACAUUGAAUUUAAGUUAUAAAAUUUGUUUGUUAUACAUAUUUCUUAAAUUUAAAUAUGAAAUAUAAUUAGAUGAUUUGAUAAAUACAAUUUUAAAAAUUUUAAAAAUAAAGUAUUUAAAAGAUAAAAUAAAUAAAAUAAAAAGAAUUGAAAAUUUUCUACUAAGUGAUAGGUAGCUCUUUAUCUACUUAUCAUUUUCCACACUUUUUCAUUGAAAAAAUUCAAUCAUUUGAUUUUUAUUAUGAAUUAUCAAAUGUGUUAAAAAAUUUAAAUAACUGAAAAUAUUAAUUUUUAGCUAAUUUAUUUUUCAAUGGUUAUCAAACAAGGCUUAGGAGUUGUCUGAUAAAUUAAAAAUUUAAGUGUUGAAAAAUUAAGUACUUAAUUUUAAAUAUAAGUGUUCAAUAUAAUCAUAUUAUUUGGUAAAAGUAAAUAUUGAUUUUGUUAAUUUUAAUUUUAUUAAUAUAAUAUUUCAUAUUAUUUUGGAUAGAUUUAGAUAAAAGUUAAAUAUGAUAAUUGAAUAUCUCAAUUUUAAAAUAUAUAUAUAUAUAAAAUUUUAAUAAAGUAUAAUCAACUAAUUGAGUGUUAAUUAGUUACCUAUCUAUUUAUCCUAUACAACAUUUUUUUUAUUUAAAAUUUUAUAAUAAGUAAAAUAUUAAUAAAAACAUUAUGAAACACAUUUAAAAUAAUAAAAUGUUGAAAUGAAAAUUUGUAAUGAUUGAUUAUUUAACAAUUAUUGAUCAACACUUAAUUUCUUUUCAAUUUAUCAUAGGAUGUUUGGUGGGUUGAAUUGAACCUAUUUUGAAUUAGUGAAAACUUCUCUGAUUCUUUUAGAAAAAUACCCACCUAAUAAUGCAAGGUAAAAAUGCCAAUAAAUUGCCAGUGUUUGAAUUGUUUAGGAAUAUUAGUUUUGUGGGGAAAGGGUUUCUAUUAUUAUUAUUAUUAAAAACUAUUUUUUUGGGGAUUUGUUAUUCCUUGCAUUGCUUUUAUAUUAUUUUAAUUUGAUAGAAACGAAUAUUCUCUUCCUUUUUACUUUAUAUUUUACAAAGUUAAAUUCUUUUUAAAACAAUCAACUUGAGUGGAUUGAGUUUUAGUUCAAUUAACAUGAGUAUUAUUAUCAAUAUAGGAGGAUGUAGAUUCAAGUGUACUAAAACACAUUAUAAAAUUUGUUAACAGAAUCCCACGUGUCUUAAGUUCACUAACAGCAAUAAUAUAUCAUGUUUACGUGUCUCCUUAACGGUGAAAUUAAAUGUGGUCAAAGUAUUUGAUGAACCAUUAAGUGCUGAUGUGGCAUGGAGAGCUUAAUUAUUUUUAAUUAUUUUGCAAUAGUUCUUUUAACAUUUAAGCUUAUUUUUAAAAAAAUAAAAAAACUAUAAAAACAUAGACAAUUACAUAAAAAAUUGUAAAAUGUUAUUAUAAUUAUAUAUUACAGUUCAUCAUCGUGAACCCUGACACCAACUUUCCUCGUACUAAAACAAUUAUUAUCACGCAUCUCAAGCUGCAAAUAAUAAAUUCAUUGUCACUCAAACCUAAAAAUGUCAAUAAGUCGGGGUCGAGAUUCGGUUUCAAAAAAUUUGUCAAGUCUAAGCUUAUUUUCCAACUGGUUUAACCCGCCUAAAACACCCGUUUUAGUAUAAAAAAUAAGAUAUAUUAAAAUAUAUUUUUAGUUGAUAUUUUUAUAAAUAAAUUUAAAUUUUAAAAAUAUUAUUUUAUUAUUUAAAUUGAAUUUGAAUUGGAUUGGGUUGAGUUGAGACGAGGUGAAAAAUCAUUGUCCCUGAGUCGAGCCAAAUGAGCUACCCUACCUUUAGACAGGUCUAUUCAAACCUUUCACUUGGCAUUCUAUAUAAGUCUAAUCACCAUUACACUUCAAUCUUCUCAUUUCCUUAUUACUAAAAUCAAAGACUCCAUAGAAAAAUUUUUUUCCUUUAUUUUUAUAUAUAUUUUUAUAAAAUUUUAUUAAUUUUCUAUAAUUUUAUAGUUUUUUUUAAUAAUAUUUCAGUAGUUCUAAAAUGUUAUAAUACUUCAACAUUACUUUUUCAUAUUAUCAUAUUAUUUAAUAAAUUUAUGAUGAUUUAUUUAACAUUUUAGUCUAUUAUUUUCAACUAAAACUAUUAAACUCGUAUUCCAAAUAUAUAUUGAAAAUGCAAGAAAUUUCAUUUAUCUUUUUUAUUAUUAUUACUUAUUAGUUAUUAUGAUGUUUUUUAAUUGAAAAGAAAUAUAUCAUUAGAUUGAAAAACGAAGGAAAAAAUGGAUUGAAAAUCGAAUUAUGGUUUGACUUGAUUUGACCCAUGAAUAUGAGUAGUAAUAAGCCUCUACCUUUUGCUUCUACCAAGCUGGCACCGUGGUUGGUACUUGAUGCACAAGCAACAGUCAAGCAGUUGUUUAUAUUUAAAAUUUUAAUAAAAGAGAAAAUAUAUAAUUAUUAAAUAUUAAAUUAAAAACCACGUAAUAUUCUAUUAUUAGUACAUGUAUUUUGUAUAAGUUAUAAAUUCGGUUUUUAUAUUGUAUUAUUAGUACAUGUAGUAAUGAAAUUUUGCCAAAUAAUUUGUUAGUAGAAAUAAUUAAUGUUGUCAUCAAUGGUCUUUAGUAAGAGAUUUUUUACUCUGUAGAAGAAGACAAUAAAGUGUUAUUUGCUUAGAGUUGAUUGAUUUCUUAAGAAAUCCGAUAUCAUUCUCAGAGAGGGAUUAUGUUUCUUGAUUUUUUUUUUGAAAGUUUGAAUACUGGAAGAGGCAAUGUGUUCAUAGAGCUGACAAUGCCUCGCACAAUGCAUAGGCAAACCACUUAGCACAAGUGGAAUUCAACUUGCACCCAUGCCUCAUUUAGGACAUAGGUUCAAAUUCCAUCAAUUGCAACCUUUUUAGUUUCUUCAAUGGCUCGCUUGUUUAGACUUCUGACAAAGUAAUCCCGCUUUGUAAAUCCGUCAUCUCUUCAAAUAAUUGGGCUUUUGACAAUACCGAGAGACAAAACUCUCAUUAGGGACAAUACCAAACUCGUUAAAAGGCAUGCCGGUUUUAUGUUGACACACUUUGUGUAACGACUCAACUUUUGUCAAUGUAAAAAAAUUUGAUUUUCGGAUUGAAUUUCUUGAAUCGAGUCAUUCUGAAUAGUUGAAACGAAAGUGGUGAAAUAAAGAAAUCAUUAAGUAAAUUAUUAAGGAAAAUUUUGAAAUUAUAUUUAGAAGUUAACAAUUAUGGUACAAGGACUAACUUGUAAGGUAGCUAAAUUUAAGAGAUCUAAUAAGAGAUUAAAUCAAGGCCUUGUGAGCAAAUUGGCCACAACACAAAUUAAGUUAAUGGGAGAAUUAUGAUCUAAACCAUUAAUCUCCACUAACUAGUUUAGAUAUUAUCAUUAGCCAUUGAUUUAAGUGUUAAGAUUUAAUUAAAGUAAAGAAUAUAGGUUAGUGGUGAGAGAAAAUAAAACAUUUUUCACUUAGAAUUUUUCAUCUUCUUCCAUCGAAAUUGAGAGAAGGAAAAGAGAAAAUCAUUUUGAAAGUUCCUCCAUUGCCGAAGCUUCAACUCCAAGAGUGGGUAAGCUUUCUCUGAAUUUUUGUUUAAUUAAAUGGUGUUAAAUGAAAGUUUAGAGUUAGCUAUUAGUUUGAGUAUAAAAUUAAAAGAAACUAUACUAAAAUAACCAUGGGUAUUGAAUGCUUGAAGGAGUUGAGUAAGGGUUUUAUGUAUUCAUAACUUUCAAUUGAUAAAUUAGCUAUUAAGUGGCUACUUAAUGAUGGUUCAUGAUUUUGAUAUUUGUAUUUGUAUGUAUUUAUAUGUGUUGAAGAGAUAACUAGAGGGAGCUCUAGCAAGGAAAAAGACCAAGUCGUGAAGUGACGGCUUUUUGAAGAGUUUUCACUUGUUUUGGUCAUUUUGGAUAGGUAAGUUCACAUGGAAACUUCUAUAUUUACUUCUUGUCUGAGUGUAAUGUGAAUUGAAAUUAUGAUAUGUGGAAAUGUUUAAGUGUUAUAUGUAUAAUAGGUAAGUUAUGGGGUAUUGAAAAUGUGGUCCAAAUGGUUUUGAACUUGUCUUGCAUGUGAAUGUAUUCAAUGGUUAAAUAUAUUCUUAGAGAAGAGAACCAGAAAGUUGAUAGAUUGAUAAAGUUGGCUCACAUAAACAAGGGUUGCAAAUUUUUGAAAUCUCUCCGCUCUGGGGUUUAAAUUGUGUUUCUUUAUUUUCUUAUUUAUCACCAAAAAAUAAUAAUAAUAUUGUAAUGGCCUAAAUUCAAAAUUAUCGGAAUAGUGGUUUCGUAACAACCACAAAUUUGAUUUAAAGAGAAAUUAUUUUAAAAAAUUAUUGCAUGAAUAUUAAUAUAAUAGGAAAAUUGUAUGAAAAUAUCGAUAGAAAAAUUUUACCGAUUUAGUGGUUAGUUAGAAAAAAAUUUAUUAUUGAAGAAAUUGGGUAAAAACAAGGUAUCGAGAUCUCGAUCUCAUAAAAAUGAUUUGGAAAUAUUUUUAUAAAUAUUUAUGAAAUUUUAGUGAUUCGGUAUUAAAAUUUCGUUAGAAAAUUUUAAUGUUUGGGUAGUCAAUUAAAUGAAAAGGACUAAAUUGGAAAAUGUGUAAAAGUUACUAGAAUGAUUAAAUAGCUUAAGUGUCUAAUGAGAAAGGAUUUAAAAGAAAAUUAGACCCAAAAUUUAUUUGGGCUGGACGGCAAGGGCAUGAAAUCAGCAGGAAAAUUGAUGAUUUAAGGGCAAAAUUGGAAUAUUACAUAAUUAACUAAAUAAAAAUAGGACUAAAUAUGGAAUAUCUAGAUUUCUCUUCAUUUUUCUUCAUUCUUAUCAGCCAAAACGCCAUAGGAGG
rnacentral:lncRNA from 1 species